rnacentral:rRNA from 1 species
GACAGAGGGUGCAAACGUUGUUCGGAAUUACUGGGCGUAAAGCGCGUGUAGGCGGUCGGGUAAGUCGGAUGUGAAAGCCCCGGGCUCAACCCGGGAAGUGCAUUCGAUACUACUUGGCUAGAGUACUGGAGAGGAUGGUGGAACUCUCGGUGUAGAGGUGAAAUUCGUAGAUAUUCGCAAGAACACCAGUGGCGAAGGCGGCUCACUGGCCCGGUACUGACGCUGAGGUGCGAAAGCGUGGGGAGCAAACAGG